UGUUAUUCCUCUGUUAUUCCUCAGUUACUAUCCAUAUCCCUUUUGGAUAGUCACUCAGUGGUCUGGAACAAGCCCCAGGGAUCUGCUGAUUUCUCCUUCCCCAGUACAGGGAUUGGAAAUGAAAGCUGCUAAGCUCAGCCUAUUGCUACAAGGGAGGUGGGGAUAUAAUUCAGAUCCCUGCCUGGGCAUGCAAGGGAUCACAUGCCAAUGUCUGGGAAUGGUUUGGCCACCACAGUGGAAAAACUAUAAGCUCCUAAGCUGUUAAGGAACGCCUCAAAGAGCAAUGGAUAAGCCAGGUACCUUUGGUUCUUGACUCCACCCAAAUAAAAGGGCAUUAAUCAGCAGGUAAUUAAGCACAAAGCAUUAAUUGUAUGUCUCCUUCUUAAAAUAGUAUCUAUACUCACACCACAAAUUUGUUUAUACAUGUUUUGGUUUGAGUGUGUAAAUCCUUCA